GACCGAUUUAGUGACCGAUUUUUUUUGGUCACUUUAGAGACCGAAUUAGUGACCAAUAUGUUGAGCUUUAAAAUAGUGAAAUUUAGAGACUGAAUUAGAGACCGAAAAUUGGAGACCGAAAAAUUUGUCACUUUUAGAGACCGAUUUAGAGACCGAAUGAAAUAAAAUUAGUCUUUUAUAUUAUAUAAAAUAAAAAUCAAAUUAAAAAAAUGUGUUAAUUCUUUUUUAAAAAGAGUCCACUAUUCUUUUUGAACACUCAAAUUUUAGGUGAGAGUUCACCUAAGAACUCAUCUCUUCCCCGCCUCCGUGUGUCUCUAUCUGCUUCUCCACAUCCUUCGAUCUGCUUCACAACACGUUCGCUCUCUGCUUCCAAAUCGAUGUGGUCAUCGUUUCUCCUACGCUCGCUGCUUCUUCUAUUUCAAACAAAUUGAACGGUUUAGCACACCAUGUCGGCCCUUCCUAAGAUGCUUCUUACAUCGAGAAGCUUUACACACAGCGAGCAACAUAACAGUGCCAAGAACAAAUCUCAGGUCAUUCUCACCAUCAUAUUUUUAAUCCCUAAUUUAAUGACUCUUCCUUUUUUAUUUAGGGUUUUAGAUGGUGUUGUUGUUGUUGUUAGAUUUUCUUACAAUUAGGGUUGGGAACUGUCGUUUUACUCUCUCUAUUUCGCUGUUUUUUUUUUCACAAACAUUCGGAUCUUUGGGAAAAUUUUGGUGUUUGAUUUUGUGCUUAAACCUUCUUCCAAUGUUGAAGGUGGGUAGUUGCUUUUAUCUUUACUCUAUAAGGCUUUUAAUUAUUCGAUAUUUGGUUGAUCAAAGUUAUGCUUAUCUUUAGGGUAACAAAAAUACCUAAUUCAAGGGUCCAUAUAUUUUUUAACACAAAUGGUGUGAAUGAAUGAAAGUAAAGGGUAAAGGGUUUGUCCUCUUACGGUAGACAUGUCAUAUGAUCUUUAAAACAAGAUUCAGAAGUGUGAAAGAGUGAUUCCUAAGUUUAAAGAUGCAAGAUUUGGUAAUUAGGUUGAAAUUGUUUUAGCCAAAGCCAAGCAUAGUGGUUCCUAGUCUGUGUAAUAAUUUAAUAUCAAACUGAAUGAAGCUACUGAUUUGUUAAGGUUUUUACUCAUGUUGCUUCUUUGAUUCUUUCUAAUACAAUGCAUACUCCUUAGUUUUCUGAUACAAGGCAUAUUGUUUGCCGUUAACUCACUUCCUUGUUUCAGACAUUGGUGCUUUCAUAUUUCAGACAUUGUUUCACACACUCUUUAAGUUUCAGUUACGUGUGCGACAUCAUGAAUGUUAUUUAAUCCAUGCAUUGAUUUUGUUUCAUGGUUUGAUAUAUAGUUUUUUACUUUUGACGUGUGUAUUCUAAUUUAUGAUGCGUGAGGCUCUGGAUCCAUGUCAAGACCCAACUAUUCUAAACGCUUAAGUACUUGUAAAACUCAUUUAAGGUCCAAAUUUGUUUUAAACAUGAUAAAUUUUUUGGAAUACUUGCGCUUUCAGUUUUCUUCCUACAGUUGUUUUUUUUUUUGUUUAUUUUAUUUUAUUUUAUUGCUACUGGUGCAUAUGAAGAUGAUUUGGCUCUGUUUUUUGUGUCAAUAAUUGCUAGUGAUAUUGUUGGAAAUUAAAUCAAACAAUCUAGAAGAAUUUGCGUUUUCAUGGACUAUAUACUUUCAAGGACUGAAACUUGUUUGGUGGCUCUAUGAUUAUGUUAAAGUUCCACUGGAUGCAUACUUGAUGGACUUUGUGUUCUCUGAGAGUGAACAUGGUGAAGUUUUUUAUAACAAAUUUGGAAUGGACUACCACAUACCUGUUUUUGGUGAUAUUGUGAAGGAACCUCUCCUUUGCAUAUCAUUCAUAUUGCUGUUGAGAUGGCCCCAAUUGCAAAGAAGGUUGAUUCAUUGUUGUUAUGAUCUCCAAUUAUUUUCAAUGAUCGUAAGAUAUUUCACCUUAUAGUACUCAUACUUAAGCUAUGGAACGCAGACUGAGUUAAGACGGCCACUUAGGUCUUGCAGCUAAAUUUUAUUAAACACAUCAUAAUAAUAUAUAGUAUGUAAACUAAAUUCUUUCUUUGUAAUUAUGUUUGUGUCCAUGUAGAGUAUUUCCUCAAAAGUUAUGGAAGCGUUCGAUAAUCGGCCUCUCAGUAAGAUUAAAGGGACCGGUAUGUAGUCAUGGUACCAAGAAUGUAUAUCAUGGAGCAUGUAGAUUAGAGGCUUCUAGUUUGAUACAUACAUGAUGUAAAGCCUUGAUGAACCGAAGCUUUAAUUUAUUUUCUAUAGGAGGUUUAUUUAUUUUGUAAUACUGAAUUUGAAGAAAAAAGCAUUAGUUAAAGCCUUGUUUAAUAUUAUGGAGCA